rnacentral:rRNA from 1 species
UUUCUGUUUGAUCCCGGCAGAGGCUACUGCUAUUGGGGUUCGAUUAAGCCAUGCAAGUUGAACGAUUCUUCGGAAUCGUGGCGAACGGCUCAGUAACACGUGGAUAACCUACCCUUAGGACCGGUAUAACCCUGGGAAACUGGGGACAAUCCCGGAUAGGUGAUUUUUUCUGUAAUGAUUUUUCAUUUAAAUGCUCCGGCGCCUGAGGAUGGGUCUGCGGCAGAUUAGGUAGUUGGUAGGGUAAUGGCCUACCAAGCCGGUGAUCUGUACGGGUUGUGAGAGCAAGAGCCCGGAGAUGGAACCUGAGACAAGGUUCCAGGCCCUACGGGGCGCAGCAGGCGCGAAACCUCCGCAAUGCGAGAAAUCGCGACGGGGGGACCCCAAGUGCCACUCUUAACGGGGUGGCUUUUCUUGAGUGUAAAAAGCUUUUGGAAUAAGGGCUGGGCAAGACCGGUGCCAGCCGCCGCGGUAACACCGGCAGCUCUAGUGGUAGCCAUUUUUAUUGGGCCUAAAGCGUUCGUAGCCGGUUUGAUAAGUCUCUGGUGAAAUCCUGUAGCUUAACUGUGGGAAUUGCUGGAGAUACUAUUAGACUUGAGGUCGGGAGAGGUUAGCGGUACUCCCAGGGUAGGGGUGAAAUCCUGUAAUCCUGGGAGGACCACCUGUGGCGAAGGCGGCUAACUGGAACGAACCUGACGGUGAGGGACGAAAGCCAGGGGCGCGAACCGGUUUAGAUACCCGGGUAGUCCUGGCCGUAAACG